UACGUAGGGUGCGAGCGUUGUCCGGAAUUAUUGGGCGUAAAGGGCUCGUAGGCGGUUUGUCGCGUCGGGAGUGAAAACCAUGGGCUUAACUCAUGGCUUGCUUCCGAUACGGGCAGACUAGAGGUAUGCAGGGGAGAACGGAAUUCCUGGUGUAGCGGUGAAAUGCGCAGAUAUCAGGAGGAACACCGGUGGCGAAGGCGGCAUCCUGGACCGGUAUUGACGCUGAGGCGCGAAAGCCAGGGGAGCAAACGGG
rnacentral:rRNA from 1 species